CUUUCUCUUUUCCAAUCAGAUCUUAUCGUUAUGAUGAAGAUUCACUAGCUCUACGCGUUUCAGGUCAAUCAAAAGACGGUGUAGUAGG
ensembl:ncRNA Y62F5A.13 ncRNA